CCUACGGGAGGCAGCAGUGGGGAAUAUUGCACAAUGGGGGAAACUCUGAUGCAGCAACGCCGCGUGAGUGAAGAAGUAUUUCGGUAUGUAAAGCUCUAUCAGCAGGGAAGAAGAUGACGGUACCUGAGUAAGAAGCCUCGGGUAACUACGUGCCAGCAGCCGCGGUAAUACGUAGGGGGCAAGCGUUAUCCGGAUUUACUGGGUGUAAAGGGGGCGCAGACGGGAAAACAAGUCUGAAGUGAAAGCCCGGGGCUCAACCCCGGGACUGCUUUGAAAACUACCUGUCUGGAGUGCUGGAGAGGCAAGCGGAAUUCCUAGUGUAGCGGUGAAAUGCGUAGAUAUUAGGAAGAACACCAGUGGCGAAGGCGACUUACUGGACUGUAACUGACGUUGAGGCUCGAAAGCGUGGGGAGCAAACAGGAUUAGAUACCCUUGUAGUC
rnacentral:rRNA from 1 species